rnacentral:misc_RNA from 1 species
AAGUCGUAACAAGGUUUCCGUAGGUGAACCUGCGGAAGGAUCAUUAAAAAAUCUCUCAAGGAGCCGCAAGGCUCUAAUAUUUUGUGAAAUGUGUAUAUUGUUACAAGCUCAGGAGGAGGAGGAGGAGUGUAGUAGUAGAAAUCGGUCCAUCGUCAUGGUGGAUGGAUUUCUUCGAAAGACUUGCCUCUUAUUGGGCUGUGAUGAUAUAAAAUAUUAAUACAUAUGAUUUUGAUGUUGAGGAAGUAUUAUAUCAAUUAUAAUAUGUAUACAACUUUCAACAGUGGAUCUCUCGGCUCUU